GUAAGUUUGCAGACGACACCAAGUUGGGAAGGAGUGUUGAUCUGCCAGAGGGGAGAAAGGCACUACAGAGGAACCUGGAUAGACUGGAUCAAUGGGCCAACGUUAACUGUAUGAGUUUCAAUAGGGCCAAGUGUCGGGUCCUGCAUUUUGGUUACAACAACUCCAGGCAACCCUACAGGCUUGGGGAGGAGUGGCUGGAAAGCUGCCUGAUGGAAAGGGACCUUGGUGUACUGAUGGACAGUUGGCUGAAUAUGAGCCAGCAGUGUGCCCAUGUGGCCAAGAAGGCCAAUGGCAUCCUGGCUUGUAUCAGGAAUGGUGUGGUGAGCAGGACUAGGGAAGUCAUCCAGCCCCUGUACUCGGCAUUGGUGAGGCCUCACCUCGAGUACUGUGUUCAGUUUUGGGCACCUCAGUCCAGAAAGGACAUGGAGCUGCUGGAGCAGGUCCAAAGAAGGGCAACAAGGCUUGUGAAGGGCUUCGAGAAUAUGCCCUAUGAGGAGAGACUGAAGGAAAUGGGGCUGUUUAGUCUGGGGAAAAGGAGGCUGAGGGGAGACCUUAUUGCUCUCUUCCAAUAUCUGAAAGGUGCUUACAGCGAGAGCAGGGUUGGUCUCUUCUCACUGGUGACAGGUGACAGGAUGAGGGGAAAUGUCCUUAAGUUGCACCAGGGUAAGUUUAGGUUGGAUAUCGGAAAACACUUCUUUACAAAAAGGGUUGUUAAGCACUGGAAUAGGCUCCCCAGGGAGGUGGUUGAGUCACCAUCCCUGGAUGUGUUUAAAAACCGUUUGGAUGUGGUGCUCAGGGACAUGAUUUAGUGGAGGGUUGUUAGUUAGGGUACUAUGGUUAGGUCGUGGUUGGAAUAGAUGAUCUUUAAGGUCUUUCCCAACCUGAGUGAUUCUAUGAUUCUAUGAUUCUAUGGCCACCUUGUUUAUACUCCCUUGAGAUCUGGAUUGAAACAAGUGCACCACUGUGUGCUGAAUAACAAAGAAGAGGAGAGGAACUGAAGAUUCAUAAUAUCUUAAAUUUGGUAUUGGAGCCCUUAAAGGAAAGCAGUGAAGCAAAGCACCAAAAUUUGAGUUACAGAUGCGUGGGACCUGGCGGCAUGAAAAGAGUCAGGACAAGGCCCAGCCUGCUGCUCUGUGUACCCACUGUUUUAUGAUGUAGAACAAAAGCAAAAUGGAUUCCAGAAAACAAUGGACACACACAGUUCAUUACACAUGAAGAAUAGUUUAAUUUCCAGGAGCUCUGCCACCAUCUGUAAAACAAAGGGAGCUCACAGCACUGCUGGGGUUCCCUCGCAAUGCGCUGC
ensembl:lncRNA